UACGUAGGUGGCAAGCGUUACUCGGAAUCACUAGGCGUAAAGCGCAGGUAGGCGGUUCGGUAAGUCUUUUGUGAAAGCUCCCGGCUUAACUGGGAGAGGUCAAAGGAAACUACCGGGCUAGAGUGUGGUAGGGGAAACUGGAAUUCCUGGUGUAGCGGUGAAAUGCGUAGAUAUCAGGAGGAACACCUAUGGCGAAAGCAGGUUCUGGGCCAUCACUGACGCUGAGCUGCGAAAGCUAGGGGAGCAAACAGG
rnacentral:rRNA from 1 species